GACGAACGCUGGCGGCGUGCUUAACACAUGCAAGUCGAACGGUCAAGCGCCUUCCUUUUUGGUGGGUGUGGAUGAGUGGCCAGCGGGUGAGUAACACGUGAGUAACCUUCCCCCUUCUUCUGGAUAACCGCAAGACAGUGUGGCUACUACGGGAUAUUCUGGGUCUGUCGCAUGAUUGGUCUGGGAAAGAUAUUGUUUCGGUGGGGGAUGGGCUCGCGCCCUAUCAGCUUGUUGGUAGGGUGAUGGCCUACCAAGGCGGUGAGGAGUAGCCGGCCUGAGAGGGUGGGCCGCACCACAGGGACUGAGACGUGGCGCAGACUCCGACGGGAAGCAGCAGGGGAGAAUACGGCACAGGGGGCGGAAGGCUGAUGCAGCGACGCCGCGUGAGGGAUGGUGGUCGUCGGGUAGAGAACUGCUUUCGGGAGUGAAGCAGGGUUGCCUCGACUGUGGGUGGGUUGACGGUAGCUGGACAAGAAGCGCCGGCUAACUACGUG
rnacentral:rRNA from 1 species